GGUUAAGUCAGGCAACGAGCGAGACCCACGCCCACAGUUGCCAGCGUACUCUCCGGAGUGACGGGUACACUGAGGGGACCGCCGCUGCUAAAGCGGAGGAAGGAAUGGGCGACGGUAGGUCAGUAUGCCCCGAAUAUCCCGGGCUACACGCGAGCUACAAUGGUUGGUACAAUGGGUAUCUACCCCGGAAGGGGAUGGAAAUCUCCUAAAGCCAAUCUUAGUUCGGAUUGAGGGCUGCAACUCGCCCUCAUGAAGCUGGAAUCCGUAGUAAUCGCGUUUCAACAGAACGCGGUGAAUACGUCCCUGCUCCUUGCACA
rnacentral:rRNA from 1 species